ACGGGGUGCAGCAGGCGCGAAACCUCUGCAAUAGGCGAAAGCCUGACAGGGUUACUCUGAGUGAUGCCCGCUAAGGGUAUCUUUUGGCACCUCUAAAAAUGGUGCAGAAUAAGGGGUGGGCAAGUCUGGUGUCAGCCGCCGCGGUAAUACCAGCACCCCGAGUUGUCGGGACGAUUAUUGGGCCUAAGGCAUCCGUAGCCUGUUCUACAAGUCCUCCGUUAAAUCCACCUGCUCAACAGAUGGGCUGCGGGGGAUACUAUAGGGCUAGGAGGCGGGAGAGGCAAACGGUACUCAGUGGGUAGGGGUAAAAUCCAUUGAUCUACUGAAGACCACCAGUGGCGAAGGCGGUUUGCCAGAACGCGCUCGACGGUGAGGGAUGAAAGCUGGGGGAGCAAACCGGAUUAGAUACCCGGGUAGUCCCAGCUGUAAACGAUGCAGACUCGGUGAUGGGUUGGCUUCGCGCCAACCCAGUGCCGCAGGGAAGCCGUUAAGUCUGCCGCCUGGGGAGUACGGUCGCAAGACUGAAACUUAAAGGAAUUGGCGGGGGAGCAC
rnacentral:rRNA from 1 species